GAUGAACGCUGGCGGCGUGCCUAAUACAUGCAAGUCGAGCGAACGGACGAGAAGCUUGCUUCUCUGAUGUUAGCGGCGGACGGGUGAGUAACACGUGUAUAACCUACCUAUAAGACUGGGAUCACUUCGGGAAACCGGAGCUAAUACCGGAUAAUAUUUUGAACCGCAUGGUUCAAAAGUGAAAGACGGUCUUGCUGUCACUUCUAGAUGGAUCCGCGCUGCAUUAGCUAGUUGGUAAGGUAACGGCUUACCAAGGCAACGAUGCAUAGCCGACCUGAGAGGGUGAUCGGCCACACUGGAACUGAGACACGGUCCAGACUCCUACGGGAGGCAGCAGUAGGGAAUCUUCCGCAAUGGGCGAAAGCCUGACGGAGCAACGCCGCGUGAGUGAUGAAGGUCUUCGGAUCGUAAAACUCUGUUAUUAGGGAAGAACAUAUGUGUAAGUAACUGUGCACAUCUUGACGGUACCUAAUCAGAAAGCCACGGCUAACUACGUG
rnacentral:rRNA from 1 species